ensembl:snRNA Gm24612 predicted gene, 24612
GUGCUCGCUUUGGCAGCACAUAGACUAAAAUUGGAAUGAUACAGACAAGAUUAGCAUGGCCCCUGUGCAAGGAUGACACACAAAUUUGUGAAGCAUUCCAUAUUUU